GGUGUAAAGGGAGCGCAGGCGGAAAGACAAGUUGGAAGUGAAAACCAUGGGCUCAACCCAUGAAUUGCUUUAAAACUGUUUUUCUUGAGUAGUGCAGAGGUAGAUGGAAUUCCCGGUGUAGCGGUGGAAUGCGUAGAUAUCGGGAGGAACACCAGUGGCGAAGGCGGUCUACUGGGCACCAACUGACGCUGAGGCUCGAAAGCAUGGGUAGCAAACAGGAUUAGAUACCCUGGUAGUCCAUGCCGUAAACGAUGAUUACUAGGUGUUGGGGGAUUGACCCCCUCAGUGCCGCAGUUAACACAAUAAGUAAUCCACCUGGGGAGUACGACCGCAAGGUUGAAACUCAAAGGAAUUGACGGGGGCCCGCACAAGCAGUGGAGUAUGUGGUUUAAUUCGAAGCAACGCGAAGAACCUUACCAGGUCUUGACAUCCGAUACAUAGCACAGAGAUGUGUGAAAUCCUUCGGGACAUCGAGACAGGUGGUGCAUGGUUGUCGUCAGCUCGUGUCGUGAGAUGUUGGGUUAAGUCCCGCAACGAGCGCAACCCUUAUUGCCAGUUACUACGUUAAGAGGACUCUGGCGAGACUGCCGUUGACAAAACGGAGGAAGGUGGGGAUGACGUCAAAUCAUCAUGCCCUUUAUGACCUGGGCUACACACGUACUACAAUGGCGUUAAACAAAGAGAAGCAAGACCGCGAGGUGGAGCAAAACUCAAAAACAACGUCUCAGUUCAGAUUGCAGGCUGCAACUCGCCUGCAUGAAGUCGGAAUUGCUAGUAAUCGCGGAUCAGCAUGCCGCGGUGAAUACGUUCCCGGGCCUUGUACACACCGCCCGUCACACCAUGAGAGCCGGGGGGACCCGAAGUCGAUAGUCUAACCGCAAGGAGGACGUCGCCGAAGGUAAAACUGGUGAUUGGGGUGAAGUCGUAACAAGGUAGCCG
rnacentral:rRNA from 1 species